UAACGCGUGAGUAACCUGCCUCUAAGAGGGGAAUAACAUUCGGAAAAGAAUGCUAAUACCGCAUAACAUAUAUUUAUCGCAUGGUAGAUAUAUCAAAGAUUUAUCGCUUAGAGAUGGACUCGCGUCCGAUUAGUUAGUUGGUGAGGUAACGGCUCACCAAGACCGCGAUCGGUAGCCGGACUGAGAGGUUGAACGGCCACAUUGGGACUGAGACACGGCCCAG
rnacentral:rRNA from 1 species